CUUACUGCUAUCGGGAUGAGAUUAAGCCAUGCAAGUCGUGCGCUUUCAGGCUAUGUUGAGAGCGCGGCGAACGGCUCCGUAACACGUAGUUAACCUACCCUUAGGAUGGAGAUAACCCCGGAAAACUGGGAUUAAUAUUCAAUAGAUGACAACGCCUGGAAUGGUCUGUCAUCGAAAGGCUCUAGAAACAUGCCUUCUAGAAUUACCUAAGGAUGGGACUGCGUCCGAUCAGGUUGUUGGUGGGGUAACGGCCCACCAAGCCGAUAACCGGUACGGGCCCUGAGAGGGGGAGCCCGGAGAUGGAAACUGAGACAAGGUUCCAAGCCCUACGGGGUGCAGCAGGCGCGAAAACUCCACAAUGCGCGAAAGCGUGAUGGGGUUAUCCCGAGUGCCUUCCGAUGAGGAGGGCUUUUCCUUGGUGUAAAAAUCCAAGGGAAUAAAGGGGGGGCAAGACUGGUGUCAGCCGCCGCGGUAAUACCAGCCCCCUGAGUGGUAAGGACGAUUAUUUGGCCUAAAGCGUCCGUAGCCGGUUUAGUAAGUCCUCCGUGAAAUCCGACGACCUAAUCGUCGGGCGUGCGAAGGAUACUGCUAUACUAGGGGACGGGAGAAGUCGACGGUAUUCCAGGGGUAGGGGUGAAAUCCUAUAAUCCUUGGAGGACCACCAGUGGCGAAGGCGGUCGACUAGAACGCGCCCAACGGUGAGGGACGAAAGCUGGGGGAGCGAACCGGAUUAGAUACCCGGGUAGUCCCAGCUGUAAACGAUGCAGGCUAGGUGUUGGGGUAGCCACGAGCUACUUCGGUGCCGCAGAGAAGUUAUUAAGCCUGCCGCCUGGGGAGUACGGUCGCAAGACUGAAACUUAA
rnacentral:rRNA from 1 species